CCAUAGGGUGUUGGAAGAAACUGCUAAUUGUCCAGGCACAAAGAAUUAAUAAAACAAUCAUAGAAACCUGAAGAGUGGCAUGCGUUUUGUUUUGGAACAAAUUAAACCUGAAAAACAAAGGAUGUCUCAAUGCCCCCAGGCAAUCCAAGAAACAGUAUAAGAGGGCUUGUGGCUCAGAGGCCAUCAGAUCACAGCUGCUCGCUGAGAAGAGCAAGUCUCAUCCCUUCCAUCUCUUUGAGCCAAGUUCACCUCGCAGCCCGAAGGAUGUCGUUCUCCAGCCUGCAGCUCAGCUCCCGCUGCCUCCCCCCCUGCGCGGUGACCUGCCCGCAGCCAUGGGUCAACGCCUGCAACGAGCCCUGCGUCACCUCCUGCGGGGACUCCCGCGCCGUGGUCUACCCGCCGCCCGUGGUCAUCACCUUCCCGGGCCCCAUCCUCAGCUCCUGCCCCCAGGAGAGCUACGUGGGCACCUCGGAACCCCUGGGGCUCGGCAGCGCUGGGGGCCUUGGCGGCUCCCUGCUCUCUGGGGGCUCCUUCCCGGGCUCCUGGGGCCAGCGCUGGAGCUCCCGCUACGGGCGCUGCAGGCCCUGCUAAGCAGCACAGGAGAUGCGACAGCAGAAGGAAUGAGGGGGGCCCUGACAGCAAGCACCCGAGCUGAAGGACACAGCUCCCAGCCUGUCCUUUGGGGCCCCAGGUGCUGCUGGGCACCCGUGGGAGCUGCUCUCGUGCUUGCCCUCCUCAUGCUCUUUGCUUUUAACAUCCUGACUACAAACCUCUCCUGGUUUCUCAAAAGGCAGUUUUUCAUUCUUGCGACCCAAAGGCUUAAUUAUGCAAAAUCCAUUCCUCACUAUUAGAGCAGCGCAAAGGGAUUUUAGUGUCAGUGGGAACUGCUCCAUGUGUGUUUGAAUUUGUUCAGGAACACACACUAUGUCUUCAGGAGUUUUAUAUUUGGAUAACCAUAUGUUUAGCAGGAAAGCUCCUUAGUUGUGCCCUUGCACUCUUUGUUCUGCCUGUUAGAAACUUGAGCUCCAAGGAAGAACAGUGUGCUCAAAAUAAAUCAUUUCUGUUUAGUUGCUUAAUUUGCCCCUUUUUUGAAACCCUGGAAGUCUGUCUUGUACUGUAUUUUGCUUAAAAUGUAUACUUGCUCCCAAUAAACACUUCUGAUUGCAUCCUAA